GCCUCGGUGGUCUAAUGGCUUAGGACAUUUGUACGGAAUACAAGAAAUCUGGGUUCAAAUCCCAGAGGUA
rnacentral:tRNA from 1 species